GACGAACGCUGGCGGCGUGCUUAACACAUGCAAGUCGAACGGUAAGACCCUUCGGGGUACACGAGUGGCGAACGGGUGAGUAACACGUGGGUAAUCUGCCCUGCACUUCGGGAUAAGCCUGGGAAACUGGGUCUAAUACCGGAUAUUCAGUUCCUGCCGCAUGGUGGGGGUUGGAAAGUUUUUCGGUGCAGGAUGAGCCCGCGGCCUAUCAGCUUGUUGGUGGGGUAAUGGCCUACCAAGGCGACGACGGGUAGCCGGCCUGAGAGGGUGAUCGGCCACACUGGGACUGAGACACGGCCCAGACUCCUACGGGAGGCAGCAGUGGGGAAUAUUGCACAAUGGGCGAAAGCCUGAUGCAGCGACGCCGCGUGAGGGAUGACGGUCUUCGGAUUGUAAACCCCUUUCAGUAGGGACGAAGCGCAAGUGACGGUACCUGCAGAAGAAGCACCGGCCAACUACGUG
rnacentral:rRNA from 1 species